CCCAGCGCCCGAACCCAGGCAACUUCCCGCCGCCCGGGCAGGAGUUUCUCCGUAGCCCACGGACAUCCGGGAGGCUUGUGGAGGGCAGGCGGGUAACCCCCACUCCCACCCCACCUUUAUCCAGGGGCAGCCAGAGGAGCCAGCAGGUCGGGACUCGCUGAGGGGGCUCCACGCGGGGCCUCCCACGCACAGGAGACAAAAAGAACAGCGUAUGACUCAGUUAAGGAGGUGGCAGUGUGGACAAAACACACAGAGAGCAAGAGGAUGAGCCUUCCACUAAAGGUGGAAAUCAUGUGGAGUCCUCGUGAUUACCUCACUGUGUGGCAGCUGGACCCCUGGGCACAGUGGGGGCUGAGCCAAGGUCUGAGAGAGCUGGGAUAGGUAACUAACUGUGUGCUCGUCCCCAAGUGGAGCUUCCCAGGAUACCCAGAUCUCAUGCCCAAGGCCGCUGUUUGGAUUGUGCAGCCAUCACAGGAAUACUCACAGUGUGAGUGCCCUCGAGCCAUUUUAUUGAGGGUGAAGUCCGACGAACACAAAUGAAGCACCAGCCAUGGCCCUUCAUGGGGCUGUAGUUACAGUUGAUGAGAUACAGUGAAGACAAGUGUGUCACGGGAGUGG
rnacentral:lncRNA from 1 species